GUGAGCUACCUGGAUCCUGGUGAGAACCAGCAGAACCGGGCCCGAGAGCCGAAGCUCGCGAUGGAGCUGGGGAACACAUCCGGAUCGGAUCGGACUCUGUGAGAGAGCGCUGUGUCUGAAUAAAGACUCUAGUUUGGAGGAUGAAGACGGAUGGAGAAACUGCGGUAAAUCCCCGUCUUCACUGCAUAAUGCUCGAGAAGUCUUAUGACUAAUAGCAAAUGACAUUUUCAACCGAAUUCUAAAGAAAAGCAGUGAGGAAGUGAAAAAUGCAAUCAGAAGUGAAUGUGGGCAGAGAGACAUGAAUAUCUCAGCACAUGACUCAUCCCAACCAUGCAAUAUGAAAGAAAAGCUGCGAAUGGAAAAACCUUCUUACUGAAACAAGAAAGAGCACGAAGAGCUCCAGCGAUCUUAACUAAGUGUGUGUGUGUGUGUGUGUGUGUGUGUGUGUGUGUGUGUGUGUGUGUGCAGUGUGUAUCGCUCCGUUCCAGAGACCGAGAUAUUUCCUCUCCCCUGACCCUCACUCAAACACAUGCAUAUUUAGAUAUUAAUUAAAACAAUAUUUAGUAUGUUUUUAAACCUGCUUUCUAUAACAGUUGUUCCCCUCAAAAAACAAAAACAAAAUCUGUACAAGCUCCCUCCCUCAUGCAAACACACACACACACACACAUACACAGACACACACAUACACAGACACACACUCUCUCACACACACACGCACAUGUACAAGUCUCAGGCAAGUUUUUCCUUGUAAACCUCAUACUGUAAAUCCACAUUUUACACUGAUAUUCCUCCCUCUGUGCAUCACAUCUUUCACCUUUUUCAUCCUGAUGUAAAAUCAUUAAACCACUAAAACUACAGCAA